GCAACUCCAACCGACCACAUCGAUGGCAACGCGCGUUUGCGGACGCAGGGUGCGAUCCGUGGCCGCCUCGGCUGGACCUCGAAUGCAUGGUUGCUGUACGCGGUCGGCGGUGUGGCAUUUGGCCAGACGGACACGACGUUGAGCAUUGUACGUGAUGGUNNNNNNNNCGCACCACGUCCGAUACCCGGGUCGGCUGGACCGCUGGUGCCGGCGUUGAAUACAUGAUGGCCCCGAACUGGAUUGUUGGCGUUGAGUAUCGCUACACCGAUCUCGGCCGCGCUGAUGUCACGGUCCCUGCGGGAGCAUUCCCGGUCGCUCACGGAGCCGCAUUCGGUAGUGCCGACUACCGCACCAACGAUGUUCGAGCUCGCAUCAGCUACAAGUUUGGCGGCCCGGUCGUCGCCAAAUACUGAUCCUAUGAAGCACUGAAGACUACGGACG
rnacentral:misc_RNA from 1 species